rnacentral:misc_RNA from 1 species
AAAUCCUUGAAGCUCAAAGCAAAAACUUUAGGGCUUGAUGCUCUCCCUCAGUAGCAAAACUUCAUCAAGUAAUAUUAGUAGUGGCACUAGGUUUUAUCAGUUACUUGUUAAUUACUAGAAGUUAAUGGUGUGUGCAGAAUAAGGCAGGUAAACCUGAACUGGGCAUGGUCUAAGGAUUUGCUCAAGAUAAAAGAGUGCAAAGCAUGUGCAGACUGGAAAGAGAGAGGAUCAUGGAAUCUCUACCGUAGUCUAUAAUCAGUGACAGAUUUCGAAAUCAGCAAGCUUUGAUUGUCAACAUCUUCUAUAGUUCCUGUAAAGAUGAAGGCAAGUGCAGCGUAAUAUGUCCCAAUAAAGGAAAGAGGUUGAAUCAUUAAGCAUGUCUUAGGGUCUAGAUAAAGUAGCACUCAACAUCUGGGCGUGGGAGAAUGGCUGUGU